UAGUAAUGUAAAAAACUUUGUAAAGCCUCAGUUUGCUUACUUGAAAUUUUUAUAUUGGCAUGUGUUAGAAGCAAAGAAGAAAGGCUGCAGUCCAUAAAAUGUCUAUCACAGCCAAACUUAUGUGGGAGAUUGAGGUCCGAUUCACUAAAAGUGGUAUGUGCGAAAGGAUGCUGGGUGUUGUGAGGAGUGCAGUGAUGUACAAGACUCAGCACAAGCUGAUAGCAAAAUAAUCAGGAAAACAUGGAAUGACAGAAGAAACAAACUAACAUUGAUUUAAUUCCUACUGUGCACCACUCAGAAAUCAGAGUUCUGAAAACAAGUAAAUUCCAAACUGGAGUGGAGAGAGAGCACUACGAUUAGAAAAUUUCUG
rnacentral:lncRNA from 1 species